AACACACACGUCCACCUCUAAAACACAGGACACAGUGAUUGUGCAGCCUUUACAUGUGCGUUGAGCAGAACUCAGGUAUAACUCACUUAUUGUCUGAGAAUAAACACACACUCACAGCUCUUAAACACAGGACUGUGGGGCAGCCUUUACAAGAGAGCAGACCUCAGGUCUCACUCACUGGGUAACAAGAAAGGCCAGCCAAAAUUCCCAACCAUCCCCUGAGGCCAUGGAGAAGUCCAACUCAGAUUCAUCUGAGCUGUUGUCUCCCGACUCCUCCGACUCCACCAACUCCUCCGACUCCUCCUCAGAUGGUGGGAAGAGGAAGAACUUAGAAGUCAAAGAAACAGACAAAGAAGCAGAAGGGAAAGAAGCGGAAGGGAAAGAAAGGAAGCAAAACGGGCACACAGCGAUAUGUUUAAAGAGCACGCGGCCCAGAUGAAGUCCUUGGCAGGUACCGCAGAGUGUCGAGUGUCUUCAAAAAGAAGAAAUCCAUGACUACGGCCUGUGAUGAAGUGGGAGAGGAUCGCAACCAGGGCUCCAGACUAACUUUUUCACAGGUAACACUGGUGCCACCUAGCUUUUCAUUUAGUAGCACCAAAACAAAUAAGGUAGCACCAUUUUUUUUUUUGUGAACGGGAGUUCCUCUUUAGCGAUGUUGUAGGCGGUGUUAAACUUGAUGAUUAUUUCUUCAUUCUCCGCCGAGCGAUUGGUCUCAUCUAUCCUAUUAAAUGAGGUGGGGAGGGGCUGGGAGCUUUGUGUGAUGCAGCGGUCCCUGCACGUCUUGUGCUUUUGGCUUUCGUUGUGUAAUUUCAAUGACUGAACUUAGAAUUGUGUAGAUCCAUUUACAAAAUGUGUCCUGCCUGCAACGGACGGGCCACAUGUCCUGCAGUACACACACACCAUGGCUUGUCCCCCAUAUCGUAACCACGGGAACUGCACCAGCCAUUAUUGUUGAA